CAAUGAGCACAGCAGCUGCUAGCUAAGAUGCAGCCAACUGUUCAGCAACUUGGUUUUGGUUGUAAUUUCUUAAGUGUUGACCCUUAAUGUAGUGCUGCAAAAUGCACAGAGAGGAAUGAGUAACGUAAAUUGGCUAAAUGGACCAGGGCAGAUUUGCUGAAGAAAUGUCAGUGUGGCUGCAUGCUCUGAGCCACCAGCACUUCUCACUACAGCAGAGUUAUUUCUCUCUUGCUCGAACGGUGCAGAGGGUAUCUGAGGAGGCUGAUAGGGCGAAGCAGUGGAAGCAUUACAGUGGGACAGAAGAAUGAAAUGAAAAGAGAAAAUGAAACAGAGGAGGAGUGAAGAGAGAAUUUGUGGUUAUCACAGUGGCAGCUUGAAAACAACCAGGAAGUCUGGGACUGCAACAAUCUGAAAUCGAAGGUGCAAAUGGCUUGGAGCAAGUAAAGCAGGCAUCUCACCUCCAUCUCCCAGACCUGAGUCUGCAGCUGAAGGCACCUCGUUUCCAGAUCCUCUGCUGCGGAUGAUUCAGGACCAUCUGAGAGGGAAGAUCUGCUUUUAUUAUGCAUAGCCUUAAAGAAGAGCUACUGGUAGCCCCUGUCACAGAACGUGGAAGCCCCAGCAGUCCUCCUGCACUAUCAGUAAACUGUAAAACACUGCUGAAGUUUUAUGCUAUGGGAAGCUGAUGUGAGUGGUGCUGUUCACCGUUGUACACUGAGAGCUGCUUGGCUUGGUCCUAAGAGACCUAUUCAAAAAUCAGCAGAUGUCCACCAAAGCUGGAUCCAGAAACUUAGGCUUUGUAGCUGGCACAGUGUAUGAUGAGGUACAAAACACAGUUGUGGUUUGACAGACUUCUUUGUAUUCUCUGCUCAGGAAAUAGAGAUGCAGCACAGCUUUACACUAACAAGGUAGUUCAGCCAUGACAGGAAACGUGUCUGGGAUCAGCAGGAGAGUUACUAGAUUCCAAGGAAUUGAGCAGCAGAUGAGCUUCAGUGACUCACUUAAAGCUGAACUUAUUUUAGCAUUAAGUUGCCUUGCAAACAAGUCAGCCUGGACCUACUGAUUUUUUGCAUCAUGGAUGACAUGAGCUCCAUGUCAGUGGGAACUGUACCUGAAAGCACAAAUACGUUACCUCUAGAAAGGCAAUUCAUAUUGGAGACUUAUCUGCACCAUAAGGGAACCCACACAUGAGCUCUGGUUCUACCAAGUGUUGUCCCUGCAAAGGAAGGCUGCCUUAGGGGAAGGCUGUGUCACCUGUGAAGAGGCACAAAGUGUAUGAAAGAAAACAGGUCUUGCCGAGGAUGUCGAAACCCUCCGCCACUUAUCUGAUGGUGGACGUGUAGGAAGAAGAGCUGCGCUCACCAUGAGAGGUGUCGGAUGGUGAGCAGUGCCUUGCCAGCAAACAGCACAGCUGGGCCCUGCUAUGAAAAAUGCAUCAGCAGCACCAGUAAUGCCUUCCUGGCGCUUUUCCAUGGCUUCAAUUAUGGUGUCCCUUCUGGGUGAUGGGUUGUGCUCUACAGAAGCAGCAUGAGGAAGGAAAGUGUGAUUGGUGAGAUGGGGCCACGGCUGCACUUUAAAGGCUCUGAUAGCAAUCAUCGCAAGCAGAUGAGGAAGCAUUGCAGCAAGCUGCGCGCUGAGCUUGGACCAUGCAGCCUCUCCAGUGUGCCCACCUGCUCCUCCUGCUUGCCCUGCUCGCCCUCUGCUUGCCCUUAGGCCGGGCGGAGGACAACAGCACCAUGACAGAGGGGAUCGCGGCCCGGAGCCCGGCCUGCGGCAGCCCGGCCCUCCUGUCCGUGGCCCUGGGGCUGGCUGCGGCCUUCCUCCUGCGGCUGUGCUGAGCCGAAGAUCCCCGCAGUCCGGCAUUCCCCCGCUCCGCCGCCAGCUCCCGUCCCCGUGUCCCCACAGCGCUUCCCUGUGGCCGCAGCCUCCAGGAGGAUCAGCUCCAAGCACGGUCGUGCUGUGAAGCUCUGAGAAAUAAAGUACGGAGGCUCCGA